rnacentral:rRNA from 1 species
UACGUAGGGGGCAAGCGUUGUUCGGAAUUACUGGGCGUAAAGGGCGCGUAGGCGGCCCGCUAAGUCGAACGUGAAAUCCCCGAGCUCAACUCGGGAACUGCGUCCGAUACUGGCGGGCUGAAUCCGGGAGAGGGAUGCGGAAUUCCAGGUGUAGCGGUGAAAUGCGUAGAUAUCUGGAGGAACACCUAUGGCGAAGGCAGCUUGCUGGGACGGUACUGACGCUGAGACGCGAAAGCGUGGGGAGCAAACAGG